rnacentral:rRNA from 1 species
UACGUAGGUGGCAAGCGUUGUCCGGAUUUACUGGGCGUAAAGAGCGCGCAGGCGGCUGGUCAAGUCCGAUGUGAAAUCUCCCGGCUUAACUGGGAAACUGCAUCGGAAACUGAUCGGCUUGAAGGUGGGAGAGGGUAGUGGAAUUCUCGGUGUAGCGGUGAAAUGCGUAGAUAUCGAGAGGAACACCUGCGGCGAAGGCGGGUUGCUGGGCUGACACUGACGCUGAGGCGCGAAAGCGUGGGGAGCGAACAGG